rnacentral:lncRNA from 12 species
UGGCCCAGGGCGUGAUCCUGGAGACCCAGGAUCAAGUCCCACGUUGGGCUCCCUGCAUGGAGCCUGCUUCUCCCUCUGCCUGUGUCUCUGCCUCUCUCUCUCUCUGUGUCUGUCAUGAAUAAAUAAAUAAAAUCUUUAAAAAAAAAAUGUAUGUAGAGCACCAAGGCCAAAGCUCUGGUCAUAGUAGGUGUUGAUCUGUCGUCAUAGCUGUCGUUAUUACUGUGGUGUAACAGUCCCAGCUUACCACAGUGGCAUCCAAAGCCCUGUAGGAUCUGAGUGAUAUGUGUGCUAGAAUCGACGAUUUCCUGAUGGUGGGCUCAUCUUCAACAUGUGCCGGAAUAGGCAGUGCUUGGGGCCAACUAGCACACUUGAAACCAUAGCAACAGUGUUGAUUCAUGGCAACAAAGACCAGCAUGCCAAGGAAGAAAGAAGCAGCAGCAGGACUGGGCUUGCUCUGCAGUGAUGGGCCAAUUGCCUCUUUGGAGGGCAGGGGGAGCACAGAGAUUCUGGUGUGUGAGUAGUCUCCCGGGGCUUAAUGGAAAUUUUUGUUGUAUUUUAUUUUGUUUUAUUUUUGCUUAAUGGAAAUUUUAAAGCAUAACUACCACUCUGCUAAAGGGUGGGAGAAAAUGAGAAAAGAUUUUGGUUUAGCACUAAAAAUCCACACUACAGUGAGGAACUGCUCUACCAAGCCUUUUCUCCCCUUCUAUCAUAGAACGAAACUUGAGCUCUGGCGCAGCACUGGAGACUACACUUCCCAGCAUCCCUUGCAGCUUGGUAUGGCUGUGGGAUCAAGUUGUCACCAAUGCAAGGUUUUUCCUUCUUGGAAAUUCCUUUCUCCUUCCCUGGAUACCUGUGCCAGCCUGAAAACCAGCUGUGCAAACACGUCCCCGUCCUCAUCCCCAGAACCUGUGAACACCGCGCCUUAUUUAGCCAAGAGCCAUUACAGGUCAUUAUGUGAAGGACCAUGAGAUGAGUGUCCUGAAUCUUCCAGGUGGGCCCAAUGUCAUCACGAGUGUCCUGAGAGGAGGGAGGCAGCAGCGUCAGGGGCCGAGGAGCUGCCCACAUGGAAGCCAGGAUCAGAGGGGAGAAGAUGCUUGGCUGCCGUCUUUGAAGAUGAAUGAAGGGGGCCGUGACCCCAGGAAAGGAGUCAGACUCUAGCAGCAGAAAAAGGCAAGGAAGGGUUCUCCCCUAGAAUUUCCAGGAGCCAACCCUGCUGGCCCCUUGACAUUAGCCCAGUGAAACGGAUUUCAGACUUCUAGCCUCCAGGACUCUACGAGCAGAAACUCGUGUUGUUCGUGGUCAUUCGUUACGGCAGCAACAGGGAGCUGACACGGUUACCUCACCCCCUCUCCCUGUGCACUUUGGCCUCUACAGUUUGGCGCUGUCGGGCCUUAGCUGGCAUCACAACAUUAUAAUAGCGACUUGCACAGCGCUUCGAGAUGUGCAGAGAGAAUGAAGCAAAGCCUGAGCAUUUACCCUGUGACAGACCUUCUGUAAGCCCUCUCCAUGCACCGACCACUGGGUCCCAUGGAUAUCCUACUGCUUGUCCAAGGCGUGUGGAGCGGAAACCCAAACCACGGUGUCUAACCUCAUAACCCGUGCUCUCAAUUAGAACCCUCCACUGCCUCUUCACUUUAUAGUCUACAUUCGAUGAUCGCCUUUGGUCCUUCUGCGAAGCCUUUAAAGAGGGUAUUUUUUUUUAAUCAGCCUUCAUUUAUAGAUGAGGAAUACGAGGCUCAGAGGGUUUAGGUAAUUUUACCAAGACUGUUCAUGCAGGAAGAGUCAAAGCUAGCCCUUAAACACCCCGACUGCUUCCUUCUUUCUGACCCAUUCAUGAGAAAGAACUGCUCCUCCCUUGAACUCCACAGGACUUGGUAAAUACCUCGGUCACCACAAGGCAUUCUGAUUGUCUGUGUGGAAUGUGAGCCUUUAGCAGGCCAAACCCUUGUGGUCAGAUUUUCUAGGACAUCAUAAUUAAAGAGGCAGAGGCAGCCCAAAACAGGCAAAAAGGACACCUUUAUUCUUUCUCUCUCAAAAAUAAAUGAGGAAGGGUCUGGUUCA